rnacentral:rRNA from 1 species
GGGCCCGCACAAGCGGUGGAGCAUGUGGUUUAAUUCGAUGAUACGCGAGGAACCUUACCAGGGCUUAAAUGUAAGUUGCAUAAGCUAGAGAUAGCUUUUUCUUCGGACUACUUACAAGGUGCUGCAUGGUUGUCGUCAGCUCGUGCCGUGAGGUGUCAGGUUAAGUCCUAUAACGAGCGCAACCCCUGUUGUUAGUUGCCAUCGAGUAAUGUCGGGAACUCUAACAAGACUGCCGGUGCAAACCGUGAGGAAGGUGGGGAUGACGUCAAAUCAUCACGGCCCUUACGUCCUGGGCUACACACGUGCUACAAUGGCCGGUACAGAGAGCAGCCACUACGCGAGUAGGAGCGAAUCCCAAAAAGCCGAUCUCAGUUCGGAUUGGAGUCUGCAACUCGACUCCAUGAAGUCGGAAUCGCUAGUAAUCG